GGUGGCUCAAUGGUAGAGCACUUGCCUUGUAUGCAUGAGGCCCUGGGUUCGAUUCCCCAGCACCA
rnacentral:tRNA from 1 species